GGCAGGGUGGCUCAGUGGCUACGGCGGAGGACUGCAAAUCCUUUAUUCGCGAGUUCGAUUCUCGCCCCUGCCU
rnacentral:tRNA from 1 species